rnacentral:rRNA from 1 species
UACGUAGGGGGCAAGCGUUGUCCGGAUUUAUUGGGCGUAAAGAGCGUGUAGGCGGCCAAGCAGGUCCGCUGUGAAAACUCGAGGCUCAACCUCGAGACGUCGGUGGAAACCGUUUGGCUAGAGUCCGGAAGAGGAGAGUGGAAUUCCCGGUGUAGCGGUGAAAUGCGCAGAUAUCAGGAGGAACACCGGUGGCGAAGGCGGGUCUCUGGGCCGAUACUGACGCUGGAGGAGCGAAAGCGUGGGGAGCGAACAGG